GACGAACGCUGGCGGCGUGCUUAACACAUGCAAGUCGAACGGAAAGGCCCUGCUUUUGUGGGGUGCUCGAGUGGCGAACGGGUGAGUAACACGUGAGUAACCUGCCCUUGACUUUGGGAUAACUUCAGGAAACUGGGGCUAAUACCGGAUAGGAGCUCCUGCUGCAUGGGGGGGGUUGGAAAGUUUCGGCGGUUGUGGAUGGACUCGCGGCUUAUCAGCUUGUUGGGGGGGUAGUGGCUUACCAAGGCUUUGACGGGUAGCCGGCCUGAGAGGGUGACCGGCCACAUUGGGACUGCGAUACGGCCCAGACUGCUACGGGAGGCAGCAGUGGGGAAUAUUGCACAAUGGGCGGAAGCCUGAUGCAGCAGCGCCGCGUGCGGGAUGACGGCCUUCGGGUUGUAAACCGAUUUCGCCUGUGCCGAAGCGUUAGUGACGGUAAUGGGUAAAGAAGCACCGGCUAACUACGUG
rnacentral:rRNA from 1 species